UAGGGAAUCUUCCACAAUGGACGAAAGUCUGAUGGAGCAACGCCGCGUGAGUGAAGAAGGUUUUCGGAUCGUAAAGCUCUGUUGUUGGUGAAGAAGGAUAGAGGCAGUAACUGGUCUUUAUUUGACGGUAAUCAACCAGAAAGUCACGGCUAACUACGUGCCAGCAGCCGCGGUAAUACGUAGGUGGCAAGCGUUGUCCGGAUUUAUUGGGCGUAAAGCGAGCGCAGGCGGAAUGAUAAGUCUGAUGUGAAAGCCCACGGCUCAACCGUGGAACUGCAUCGGAAACUGUCAUUCUUGAGUGCAGAAGAGGAGAGUGGAACUCCAUGUGUAGCGGUGGAAUGCGUAGAUAUAUGGAAGAACACCAGUGGCGAAGGCGGCUCUCUGGUCUGCAACUGACGCUGAGGCUCGAAAGCAUGGGUAGCGAACAGGAUUAGAUACCCUGGUAGUCCAUGCCGUAAACGAUGAGCGCUAG
rnacentral:rRNA from 1 species